UCUGGUGAUAAUGCCAUGAAGGUAACACCCGUUCCCAUUCCGAACACGAAGGUUAAGCUUCAUAGGGCCAAUGGUACUGCAUGGGAGACUGUGUGGGAGAGUAGGACGUCGCCAGGU
rfam:Clostridium amylolyticum strain DSM 21864 genome assembly, contig: Ga0131114_114